rnacentral:rRNA from 1 species
AACGAACGCUGGCGGCAUGCCUAACACAUGCAAGUCGAACGAACCCUUCGGGGUUAGUGGCGCACGGGUGCGUAACGCGUGGGGAUCUGCCCUUUGCUUCGGAAUAACAGUUAGAAAUGACUGCUAAUACCGGAUGAUGUCGAAAGACCAAAGAUUUAUCGGCAAAAGGAUGAACCCGCGUAGGAUUAGCUAGUUGGUAGGGUAAAGGCCUACCAAGGCGACGAUCCUUAGCUGGUCUGAGAGGAUGAUCAGCCACACUGGGACUGAGACACGGCCCAGACUCCUACGGGAGGCAGCAGUGGGGAAUAUUGGACAAUGGGCGAAAGCCUGAUCCAGCAAUGCCGCGUGAGUGAUG